UCCUCUACUUGAAAUGAGAACCUAAGAUUUGGAUUCCAUUUUGGACAAAAUGUAGCUUCUGGGAAUUUAUUUUUCGUAGAUAAAGCCUCUCUUGCAGACUGGUUAAAUGAACUACAUGAAAUAUUUUUGGAAGUUUCUGCUUCAUAAAAACUUGUUUGGAAUUGAAUCUCUGGAUUGAAGGGAGGUUAACCUUAGUUCACAGAGAUCAGUUACCCUUCCUGUGUUUAAAGAUGUUUCCAAGCUUUUGUACCAAAUGGCCAUUCUGGUCUUACUGGGACCAUUCCUGAGACAGGAAACCCCUCACCUUGCAAGAUAACUGCUUUGACUAUGAACAGUCCUGAGUGUAAACAGUUUUCUGUACACUGUGUGAAGUGCCUUCCUAAAGAAUCUAUUCUCAAACCUAACUGUGCAUGUGAGCUACUUCUGCAGCUUUAUGUCUCCAUCAGCUUAACAAUUGGUUGAUCUGUGGGUGGUGUAGGAAUUUGUAUUUUAAAAACUUUCCAAGUGAUUCUGAUGAGGAGAUUCUUUGAUAACCAAUACCCUUAAAUUUCACCUACCUGUCUAUUAUGAUCUUUAGAAAUUGCUGGUCUCACAUGACUUUCUUCUUCAAGAAUAAUAUGAAAUUAUAUUUAAAAGUGUUUGGGGGAAGUUCCCGUUAUGGCUCAGAGGUAAUGAGCCCAACUAGUAUCCAUGAGGAUGCAGGUUCAAUCCCUGGCCUCCUUCAGUGGGUUAAGGAUUCAGUUUUGCUGUGAGCUGUGGUGUAGGCCACAGACUCGGCUAAGAUCCCAUAUUGCUGUGUGUAGCUCAAAUUUGACCCCUACCCUGGGAACUUCCAUAUGUUACGGGUGCAGCCCUAAAAAGAAAGUGUUUUGGAAAAACGAAGAAGUAAAUACCUAAUCUCCAGAUGAAAGAAUGUUUUCUUAAGAAAAUGGUGAAACUAAAAAUAGUUUUUAUCAUAGUAACAGCUAAUACUUAUUGAAGAUUUUCAUCUGUAUUGGAUGCCUUAUUUCAUCUAAUGUUUAUAUUUUAUUAUUUCUCAUUAUACAAUUGAAGCUUAGAAAAGUUACAUCUUUCCUAAUGUCAUAAAGUGGCACGGCAAAUUUCAAACAUUUUACUGCCUUAUUUGAAAACUAAAGAUUUUUUUUUUCUUUUAUAGGCAAGGAAAUUUUCUAGGAAACUUAUGAUGUCAUACCACAAGAAAGAUAUGUGUCUGCAUUUAAAGCAUCCUAUCUCAGAAGGCUCUGUCUUAUGCGAGUUCAUGAAGAUUACUCCUAUAUUUUCUUCUAAGAAAAUGAGACUUAUGAUCCAUUUUGAAUCCAUUUUGUGUAUGAUGUGAUGAAGUGGUCCAACUUUAUUAUUUUGCAGUGGAUAUCCAGUUAUCCCAACACCAUUUGCUGAAAAAAAAGUCUAUUCUUUCACAAUAGGAUUGUCUUUGUACCUGUGUCCAAAAUCAGUUAACUGGUAAUGUGAGUUUAUUUCUAGACUUUCAAUUCUAUUCCAAAGGUCUUCAUGUCUGUCCCAAUUCCAGUAACAUACUGUCUUGAUAACGUACAGCUUUUUUUCAUAAGUAUUGAAAUCAUGAAGCAUGAGUUUUCUAACUUUGCUUUUCCAUUUCAAGACUUUUGCCAAUUUUGGGGUCCCAUGAAUUCUUAUAUAAUUUUUUUUUUUGCUUACUUUUUCCUUUUAGUAAAAUAUUCAAUUUCACAACAUAAUCGUACUGAUUAGCAUCUUGUUCUCAGUACAACAUAAGGAAAGAGUUGAAAGCCCUGAUUUGCUUCCUACCUCUCCCUGGUUGUAGGUUCCCUCCCUGAGCCCCAUCCUCCUACUUUGAAAAGAGGAGAUAAUAAUAGCAGUCUCACAUGGGUCAAGGGAGACUGUACAACCUUUGUGGAUUUUAAGAUCAGCUUGUCAGUCCCUGAAAAGAAUCCUACUGGGAUUUUUAGAUGAAGUGUGUUGAAUCUGUAGGUCAGUUUGGGAGUAUUGCCAUUUUACAACAUUAAGUCCUCUGGUCCAUGAACUCCGGAUUUCUUUGUAUUUAUUUAGAUCUUCUUUGCUUUCUUUCAACAAUGUCUUGGGGUUUUCAGAGUAUAAGUUUUGCUCUUAUUUUAAAAUUUUAUCCUUAAGUAUGUCAUUCAUUUCGAUGUUACAAUAAAUGGAAUAGUUUUUUCCUUUGAUUUCUUAGGGUUUUUUAUGUAUGAGAUCAUAUGUAAAAAGAAUUAUUCUUACUUUCUUCUUUCCAAUCCAGAUGCAUUUUAUUUCAUCUUCUUGCCUAAUUGCCCUAGCUAGAAAGUCCAGGGCAAGGUUGAAUAAAUCUGGUGAGAGAGGACACACUUUCCUUGUUGCUGACCUCAGAGGGAAUCACUCAGUAUUUAACCAUUAAGUAUAAUGUUAACUUUUCAUAGAUGCUUCUAUCAAGUUGAGAAAGCUUUCUUCUAUUUCCAGUGUGUUUUUUGUUUUUGUUAUUUGUUUUUUUGUCUUGAAUGUAUAUUGUUUGUGGUUUGUCAAAUGAUUUUUAUGAAGCUAUUGAAAUGAAAAUCUGGGUUUUGUCCUAUUUUCUAUUGAUAUGGGAUAUUAUGUUAAUUGAUUCAUCUAUUUAUUUAUGCUUUUUAAGGCUGUACCCGCGGCAUAUGGAAGUUCUCAGGGUAGGGGUGGAAUUAGAGCUUCAGCCACCGGCCUACGCCACAGCCACAGCAACUCAGGAUCCAGCCACGUCUGCAACCUACACCACAGCUCAGGGCAACGCCAGAUCCCUAACCCACUGAGUCAAGCCAGGAAUCCAGCCUGUAUCCUCAUGGAUAGUAGUCGUGAUCGUUUCCACUGCACUGCAGCAGGAACUCCCAUUAAUUGAUUUUUGGAUAUUAAACCAACUUGCAUUCCUGAGAUAGAUCCCAUUCAGCCAUAUGGUAUAAUCCUUUUUAUAUGCUGCCAGCUACUAUUUGCUAGUACAAUCAAUCCUCAGGUGUAAUUUUUCCAUUUGUGAAUUCACCUACUCACUAAAAUGUACUUGUAAACCCCAAAAUCGAUAUUUUGUGGCACUUUCAUGAUCAUGAACAUGCACAGACUCAAGGUGCACAUUCUAAGCUAAAACUGAAAAAGGCAACAGUUUGCUAUCUUGUUUCAGCUCUCAUACUAUAAACAAAGAGUGCUUUCGGUGGUCUCUUUAGCCAUCACAUUUCCCCACACAUUUUGUUGUUGAUCUUGGUGUUUAAAAUGGUCUCCACCAUUAAUUCUUAAGUCCUGGCUAGUGUUUCUAAGUGCAAGAAGACUAUGAUGUGCCUUACAUAGAAAAUAGUUUAUUACAUAAGCUUUGCUCAGGCAUGAGUUAUAGGGCUCUUGGCCAUGAGUUCAGUGUUAAUGAAUCAGUGAUAUAUAUUAAGUAAGAUGUCUUUAAACAGAAACACACAUAAAACAAAGCUAUUAUUGAUUAGUCGAUGUAAAUGUUGUGACCAGAGGCACUCAAGAACCUAACCCUAUAUUUCUUUUAUGAGAAAUGAUCUGCAAUUCAGUGUUCUUAGUGAUUUUAUAGUACAUACUUUCUGUGAAUAAUAAGAAAAUGAAUUUUAAAAGAAUUUUUGCAUAUAUAUUCACUAUAGACUUGGGAGUUUUGGGUUGUUGUGUUUUCUUUCUGGUUUUGGUAUCAAGAUAAUACCGGCCUAAUGACUUGGAAUGUGUUCCCUCCUCUUCUUUUUUGGAAGAGUUUGUGAAAAUUUGAUGUUAACGUCAUUUUUAAAAUGUUUGGUAGAAUUCACCAGUGAAGAGUUCCCAGGUGGCACAGUGGGUUAAGGAUCUGAUGUUUUUAUGGAUGUGGCACAGGUUUGAUCCCUGGCCCCAGAACUUUUGCAUGCCACAAGUGCGGCCAAAAAAAAAAAAAAAAAAAAAAAAAAAAAAAAAAAAAA
rnacentral:lncRNA from 1 species